rnacentral:rRNA from 1 species
UACAGAGGGUGCGAGCGUUAAUCGGAAUUACUGGGCGUAAAGCGUGCGUAGACGGUUAUUUAAGUCGGAUGUGAAAGCCCCGGGCUCAACCUGGGAAUUGCAUUCGAGACUGAAUAGCUAGGGUACGGUAGAGGGAAGUGGAAUUUCCGGUGUAGCAGUGAAAUGCGUAGAUAUCGGGAGGAAUACCGAUGGCGAAGGCAGGUCUCUGGGCUGACACUGACGCUCAUGCACGAAAGCGUGGGGAGCAAACAGG